AAAUUUAAGGUAUUAACUUAAUACCUGAAGAUUGUCUCUUUGAAUGAUGAUUUAUUAAUCUGUUUACUUACAGGUUGUAAGUGAGAGGAACAAAAGAAAUAGAGAAAAACAAAUAACUAAGCAUACUUGUGGUACAAAGUCUUUUGCAGAAGUAGAGGAAUCUACGAGAAAUCCUAUUACUGGAGAAUUGGACACACCAGAUAAAGUUUGGGAGAUCCAACAUACAUGCAAGGAUGAUACAUGCGAACUGGUGUGGUUGGAUUCACAAUCCCAACAAAUUCAUGGUCAACUCCAGGAAGUUGUCGCUCAGCAACAAUCUGAGGAGAUCGAGCAUCCCAUGACUAGAGAUGAGAUUUUAUCCUCCGUUGUUGGUGAGAGAACAGGCUAUGUUCAUGGAAAAGGAUACGGAAAGAAGCCUCCUAAAAAGAGUAACAUUCAGCAGGCAAACAUAGAGGCCAGCGUGUCUUCUGCUAUUGAUAUUGUGCGUUAAGAGAUGCAAGCCGAGAUGGAUAGGAAGUUGCAAGAAGAACGUGAACAAAUGGCUGCUGAGUUGCGAAGAAAUAUGGAAAUUGAGUUGGAAAGGAAGCUGGCAGAGGAGCGUCAACAC